rnacentral:misc_RNA from 1 species
AGAAGAUUAAACCGCAGGAACAGCUGACGUUAGAGCCUUAUGAAAGAGACCACGCAGUAGUGGUGGGAGUCUACAGGCCACCUCCAAAGAAAUGAUUCACCAUUGUGUUCUCCUCAUCAUCUUCAUCAUUCUGUCUUUGAUGCGCUCUUCUUACACUUUCUGGCAGGAUAAUGAACAGGUUUUCAAUAUCCCAAAUAAAUUUUGUUACUUUAUGAUGAACGUCAAGAGUAACCAACAAAUGUGUCAAAACGGAAAGUAUAAAUGGGGCAUUUUAUCUUGUUGUAUCAUGAAAAUUCAUGAAACUCUUUUUUAAUAUGAUGUUAAUCAUGUACACAAUAAAUACAUGGAUAUUUUG